AAUGGACGCAAGUCUGAUGCAGCAACGCCGCGUGGAGGACGAAGGUUUUCGGAUUGUAAACUCCUGUCUUUUGGGACAAUAAUGACGGUACCAAAAGAGGAAGCCACGGCUAACUACGUGCCAGCAGCCGCGGUAAUACGUAGGAGGCGAGCGUUGUCCGGAAUUACUGGGCGUAAAGGGCGCGUAGGCGGCCUGUUAAGUCAGAUGUGAAACCCCCAGGCUCAACUUGGGGAUUGCAUAUGAAACUGAUGGGCUCGAGUGUCGGAGAGGAAAGCGGAAUUCCUAGUGUGGCGGUGAAAUGCGUAGAUAUUAGGAGGAAUACCAGUAGCGAAGGCGGCUCUCUGGACUGUAACUGACACUGAGGCACGAAAGCGUGGGGAGCAAA
rnacentral:rRNA from 1 species